rnacentral:rRNA from 1 species
AAUCAACGCUGGCGGCGUGCCUCAGACAUGCAAGUCGAACGAUUAAAGCUCUCUUCGGAGAGUGCAUAGAGUGGCGCACGGGUGAGUAACACGUAAGUAAUCUACCUUCGAGUGGGGAAUAACGUCCGGAAACGGACGCUAAUACCGCAUAAUGCAGCGGCAUCGCAAGAUGACAGUUGUUAAAGAUUUAUCGCUUGAAGAGGAGCUUGCGGCAGAUUAGCUAGUUGGUAAGGUAAUGGCUUACCAAGGCUACGAUCUGUAUCCGGUCUAAGAGGACGGUCGGACACACUGACACUGAAUAACGGGUCAGACUCCUACGGGAGGCAGCAGUCGGG